rnacentral:rRNA from 1 species
GGCGUAGGGCGCGAGCGUUGUCCGGAUUUAUUGGGCGUAAAGAGCUCGUAGGCGGCUUGUCACGUCGGGUGUGAAAGCCCGGGGCUUAACCCCGGGUCUGCAUUCGAUACGGGCUAGCUAGAGUGUGGUAGGGGAGAUCGGAAUUCCUGGUGUAGCGGUGAAAUGCGCAGAUAUCAGGAGGAACACCGGUGGCGAAGGCGGAUCUCUGGGCCAUUACUGACGCUGAGGCGCGAAAGCUAGGGGAGCAAACAGG